rnacentral:rRNA from 1 species
AGCGAACGCUGGCGGCAGGCCUAACACAUGCAAGUCGAACGAACCCUUCGGGGUUAGUGGCGGACGGGCGAGUAACACGUGGGAACGUGCCUUUAGGUUCGGAAUAACUCAGGGAAACUUGUGCUAAUACCGAAUGUGCCCUUCGGGGGAAAGAUUUAUCGCCUUUAGAGCGGCCCGCGUCUGAUUAGCUAUUUGGUGAGGUAAUGGCUCACAAAGGCUACGAUCAGUAGCUGGUCUGAGAGGAUGACCAGCCACAUUGGGACUGAGACACGGCCCAAACUCCUACGGGAGGCAGCAGUGGGGAAUCUUGCGCAAUGGGCGAAAGCCUGACGCAGCCAUGCCGCGUGGAUGAUGAAGGUCUUAGGAUUGUAAAAUCCUUUCACCGGUGAAGAUAAUGACUGUAGCCGGAGAAGAAGCCCCGGCUAACUUCGUGUCAGCCGCCGCCGUAAUAC